UAUUCUUCUCUGUGCCUAGUUUUACUCCUGUAGCUGUGUUUGCACUGGUACAGAGUGCUGGCUGGCUCUGUGACCCCUAAGGCUCUAACUGCAAUGGCGUUAUGGCAGGUCAACAAGGAUGGCAUGCAUUCCUGUCACAGCACUGGCAAGGCAGGGUGCAUUCAAGUGGAUAUAUGUUUUGCAAAUAUUUUCUCUCAAUUCAUAUGCUACCAUUUUAUUUUGUUGAUUGUUCCUUUUUCUGUACAGAAGUGUUUUAGUUUGAUACAGUCCUACUUACCAAUUUUUCUUUUGUUGUCUGAACUUCUGGUGUGAUGUCCAAAAGGUCAUUGCCAUGUCAAGAAGCAUUUCCCUUACGUUUUUUUCUGGGAGUUUUAGGUCUCAUAUUUAUUUCUUUAAUGAAUUUUUGUAUAUGGUAUAACAUAAGGGUCCAGUUUCAUUCUUUUUUUUUUUUUGAGAUGGAGUCUUGCUCUGUCACCCAGGCUGGAGUGGCACAAUCUCAGCUCACUGCAACCUCCACCUCCCAGGUUCAAGCGAUUCUCCUGCCUCAGUCUCCUGAGUAGCUGGGAUUACAGGUGCCCACCAGCACACCUGGCUACUUUUUGUAUUUUUAGUAGAGACGGGGUUUCACCACAUUGGUCAAGCUGGUCUCAAACGCCUGACUUCAGGUGAUCUGCCCAACUCAGCCUCUCAAAGUGAUGAGAUUACACUCAUGAGCCACACCCCUUCUUCUUUACAGUCAGCUUGCCCUUCACUAUUCUUUGCACCAUUCUGGUGCAUCAUUCUUGAGGUACCUGGAGCGCUAAUGCUAAACAAAUAUAAACUCCUUAGGGUAGCUUCCAUAACUCUACAUAAGCUGAAUUUUGACUCAUCUUUCAGUUUUGUCUCCUGCUUCUUCACCCAGCUCCUCCGUGCAUACCAUGCUGUUUUGCUCCUUGUGCUGUGCUUGCAUUAGUGUCCCUCGUAGAAGACCUUCUUGCUUUAUAUGCCUCCCUGUUUCUUUGGCCAAUCAUCAUUGUUUUUCAAGACCUACCCCACACAUUAUCAUCUAUAUUUAUUCUUGAACCCUGAGUUGAGCCUGUUUGUUCUGACAGCAGCAGCAAGGCCUGAAGAAGUUAUCAACGAUAUGCUUUCGUGUCAAGGAACUGGACUCUAUACAGAACACUUCACUAAAAUUUCUGAUUCUAAAUUAGUAUGGGAAUAAAUAAUGCUGCCCCCACAUUGAGAAAUAGCAGAAGAGAACCAUAGAACCAAAGGCUCAUAGACAGGAGAAAUGUCUUGAGUAGGACUUACAUGGUCAGAAGAAAAUGAAGACCAGUGUUUCUACCCCAACACCAUGGGGCUUCGGAAGCUUCCAAAAAAGAAGCCAAAGAAAGCUGAAGGGGGUAAUCUCAAAAUAGACUGCUCUCUGCCAUUUGAUGUAAUGGGGAAAUAAAACUGGGAAGUAACUUUAACCCUUGACUAUGUGGACUCAUCUUCUAC
rnacentral:lncRNA from 1 species